CUAGAUUCUGAAGAGGCUCGGUCUGUAAAUCCUUCCAGUGUUGAUGAAAACAUUGACUCUGAGACAGAGAAAGACUCUCUCAUCUGUGAAAGUAAACAGAUAAUUCCCAGCAAAGCACCUCUUCCAUCUGCUCUUGAUGA
rnacentral:lncRNA from 1 species